UACGUAGGGUGCAAGCGUUUGUCCGGAAUUAUUGGGCGUAAAGAGCGCGUAGGCGGUCCGGUAAGUCCGCUCUGAAAGUCCGGGGCUCAACCCCGGGAGGCGGGCGGAUACUGUCGGGCUAGAGUCCGGAAGAGGCGAGUGGAAUUCCUGGUGUAGCGGUGAAAUGCGCAGAUAUCAGGAGGAACACCAAUGGCGAAGGCAGCUCGCUGGGACGGUACUGACGCUGAGGCGCGAAAGCGUGGGGAGCAAACAGG
rnacentral:rRNA from 1 species